AUACUUACCUGGCAGGGGAGAUACCAUGAUCACGAAGGUGGUUUUCCCAGGGCGAGGCUUAUCCAUUGCACUCCGGAUGUGCUGACCCCUGCGAUUUCCCCAAAUGUGGGAAACUCGACUGCAUAAUUUGUGGUAGUGGGGGACUGCGUUCGCACUCUCCCCUA
rnacentral:snRNA from 1 species